rnacentral:rRNA from 1 species
UACGUAGGGGGCGAGCGUUGUCCGGAUUUAUUGGGCGUAAAGAGCGUGUAGGCGGCCAGGUAGGUCGGUUGUGAAAUCUCCGGGCUUAACUCGGAAAGGUCAACUGAUACUGUGCGACUAGAGUGCGGAAGGGGCAACUGGAAUUCUCGGUGUAGCGGUGAAAUGCGUAGAUAUCGAGAGGAACACCUGCGGCGAAGGCGGGUUGCUGGGCCGACACUGACGCUGAUGCGCGAAAGCCAGGGAGCGAACGGG